UACGGAGGGGGCGAGCGUUAUUCGGAAUUAUUGGGCGUAAAGGGCGCGUAGGCGGCUUGACAAGUCAAAGGUGAAAUCCCUCGGCUCAACUGAGGAACUGCCUUUGAAACUGUCAGGCUUGAGGCCGGGAGGGGGUAGCGGAAUUCCCAGUGUAGCGGUGAAAUGCGUAGAUAUCUGGAGGACAUCGGUGGCGAAGGCGGCAUCCUGGACCGGUAUUGACGCUGAGGCGCGAAAGCCAGGGGAGCAAACGGG
rnacentral:rRNA from 1 species